GGGAUUGCCCCAGUAACGGCGAGUGAAGCGGCAACAGCUCAAAUUUGAAAUCUGGCCCCCCCCGGGGGGCCCGAGUUGUAAUUUGCAGAGGAUGCUUUGGGCGAGGCGCCUUCCGAGUUCCCUGGAACGGGACGCCACAGAGGGUGAGAGCCCCGUCUGGUCGGACGCCGAGCCUCUGUAAAGCUCCUUCGACGAGUCGAGUAGUUUGGGAAUGCUGCUCAAAAUGGGAGGUAUAUGUCUUCUAAAGCUAAAUACCGGCCAGAGACCGAUAGCGCACAAGUAGAGUGAUCGAAAGAUGAAAAGCACCUUGAAAAGGGGGUUAAACAGUACGUGAAAUUGUUGAAAGGGAAGCGCUCGUGACCAGACUUGGGGCGG
rnacentral:rRNA from 1 species